rnacentral:rRNA from 1 species
CCUGAGAAACCUAAAAGUUCGAAAAGAGAGAUUCAACGUCAGUAUGUAUUGUAUUCACGUGAGUAGUGAUGCAAGUUUUUGGUAAGAGGGUCAAAUCUUUUAUCAAUACUUGCACAUUUUCAUGUUAUUUUAUUGCAAUACUAUUGCCGGCGUGCACUUCUCUCUUAGUAGGACGUCCCGACCCGUUGAGUCUUGGCCUACGGCACAGAUGGUAGACUUUAAUAUUUUAUAUUAAAGACCUCUGAUGUACUCCUGGCUAAAGUACUCGACGGUAGUUUAAGAUAUGGUGUCCAGCCGCAGAAAUGCGUCCGGCCUGUCGCAAGUUUUUGAUAUAUUCCGCAUUGCAUAGACUUAGUGCUAUGUAGUUGGUUAUGUCGCUUUGCAUGACUGUGCUUUAGGACUGGCUUACUUCACCUGUCGGGACGCUUAGGCUUUGGGUACUCUC